rnacentral:lncRNA from 1 species
UCCCAUAAGCUUUUAUUGGUGAAGAAGUGGUGUCCCUCCCCCUUUUUAACUGUGUCCCUGGUUGGGGACUAUUUUCAAUAGCAACAUCCUUUUGGGAGGAUGCUGCUAGGGAUGAGUUUAAUUCCAUAUUAACAUCUACAGUCUUUUGGGAGACUGCAGAGUGGCCAGGCUGGUCAACACACACCUCUCCAUCCUUAUUCUUAGGGCUUCUUUUAUGUUCACCCUUUCC